UACAGAGGCCUCAAGCGUUGUUCGGAAUUACUGGGCGUAAAGCGGGUGUAGGUGGUGACGUAAGUCAGGUGUGAAAGCCCGAGGCUUAACCUCGGAAUGGCACUUGAUACUGCGUUGCUAGAGUUCGAGAGAGGAAAGUGGAAUUCCCAGUGUAGGGGUGAAAUCCGUAGAUAUUGGGAGGAAUACCAAUGGCGAAGGCAGCUUUCUAGUUCGAUACUGACACUGAGAUCCGAAAGCGUGGGUAGCAAACAGGAUUAGAAACCCUUGUAGU
rnacentral:rRNA from 1 species